UACGAAGGGGGCUAGCGUUGUUCGGAUUUACUGGGCGUAAAGCGCGUGUAGGCGGGUCGUUAAGUUGGGGGUGAAAUCCCGAGGCUCAACCUCGGAACUGCCUUCAAAACUGGCGACCUGGACUCAAGUAGAGGCAAGUGGAAUUGCGAGUGUAGAGGUGAAAUUCGUAGAUAUUCGCAGGAACACCAGUGGCGAAGGCGACUUGCUGGACUUGUAGUGACGCUGAGACGGCGAAAGCGUGGGGAGCAAACAGG
rnacentral:rRNA from 1 species